rnacentral:rRNA from 1 species
UACGGGGGGGGCAAGCGUUGUUCGGAAUUACUGGGCGUAAGGGGCUCGUAGGUGGCCAACUAAGUCAGACGUGAAAUCCCUCGGCUUAACCGGGGAACUGCAUCUGAUACUGGAUGGCUUGAGUUUGGGAGAGGGAUGCGGAAUUCCAGGUGUAGCGGUGAAAUGCGUAGAUAUCUGGAGGAACACCGGUGGCGAAGGCGGCAUCCUGGACCAACACUGACGCUGAGGAGCGAAAGCCAGGGGAGCAAACGGG